rnacentral:rRNA from 1 species
CAGCAGCCGCGGUAAUACGUAGGUGGCGAGCGUUGUCCGGAUUUAUUGGGCGUAAAGCGAGCGCAGGCGGGCAUAUAAGUCCAUCUUAAGAGUGCGGGGCUCAACCCCGUGAGGGGAUGGAAACUGUAUGCCUUGAGUGCAGGAGAGGAAAGCGGAAUUCCCAGUGCAGCGGUGAAAUGCGUUGAGAUCGGAAAGAAAACCAACGGCGAAAGCACUCUGCUGGGCCGACACUGACACUGAGAGACGAAAGCUAGGGGAGCAAAUGGGAUUAGAUACCCCAGUAGUCCCUGUCUCUUAUACA